rnacentral:tRNA from 1 species
GGGCGUAUAGCUCAGUUGGUUAGAGCGUUUCCUUGACAUGGAAAAGGUCUCCCGUUCGAGUCGGGAUAUGCCCA